rnacentral:tRNA from 1 species
GCGUUCGUGGUGUAAAGGUAGCACACUCGGCGCGUAUUCGAGAGGUCCGGGUUCGAGUCCCGGCGUGGGCA